rnacentral:rRNA from 1 species
CCUACGGGAGGCUGCAGUGGGGAAUAUUGCACAAUGGGGGAAACCCUGAUGCAGCGACGCCGCGUGAAGGAAGACGUAUUUCGGUAUGUAAACUUCUAUCAGCAAGGAAGAUAAUGACGGUACUUGACUAAGAAGCCCCGGCUAACUACGUGCCAGCAGCCGCGGUAAUACGUAGGGGGCAAGCGUUAUCCGGAUUUACUGGGUGUAAAGGGAGCGUAGGCGGCCAUGCAAGUCAGAAGUGAAAGCCCGGGGCUCAACCCCGGGACUGCUUUUGAAACUGCAAGGCUAGAUUACCGGAGAGGUAAGUGGAAUUCCUAGUGUAGCGGUGAAAUGCGUAGAUAUUAGGAGGAACACCAGUGGCGAAGGCGACUUACUGGACGGUUAAUGACGCUGAGGCUCGAAAGCGUGGGGAGCAAACAGGAUUAGAUACCCUAGUAGUC